GAUGAACGCUGGCGGCGUGCCUAAUACAUGCAAGUCGAACGCGCAGCGAAAGGUGCUUGCACCUUUCAAGCGAGUGGCGAACGGGUGAGUAACACGUGGAUAACCUGCCUCAAGGCUGGGGAUAACAUUUGGAAACAGAUGCUAAUACCGAAUAAAAACUUAGUAUCGCAUGAUACAAAGUUGAAAGGCGCUACGGCGUCACCUAGAGAUGGGUCCGCGGUGCAUUAGUUAGUUGUGGGUAAAGGCCUAUCAAGACAAUGAUGCAUAGCCGAGUUGAGAGACUGAUCGGCCACAUUGGGACUGAGACACGGCCCAAACUCCUACGGGAGGCUGCAGUAGGGAAUCUUCCACAAUGGGCGAAAGCCUGAUGGAGCAACGCCGCGUGUGUGAUGAAGGCUUUAGGGUCGUAAAGCGACUGUUGUAUGGGAAGAAAUGCUAGAAUAAGG
rnacentral:rRNA from 1 species